CGGGGCGCAGCAACAGUGGGGAAUAUUGCACAAUGGGCGCAAGCCUGAUGCAGCCAUUCCGCGUGUAUGAAGAAGGCCUUCGGGUUGUAAAGUACUUUCAGCGGGGAGGAAGGGAGUAAAGUUAAUACCUUUGCUCAUUGACGUUACCCGCAGAAGAAGCACCGGCUAACUCCGUGCCAGCAGCCGCGGUAAUACGGAGGGUGCAAGCGUUAAUCGGAAUUACUGGGCGUAAAGCGCACGCAGGCGGUUUGUUAAGUCAGAUGUGAAAUCCCCGGGCUCAACCUGGGAACUGCAUCUGAUACUGGCAAGCUUGAGUCUCGUAGAGGGGGGUAGAAUUCCAGGUGUAGCGGUGAAAUGCGUAGAGAUCUGGAGGAAUACCGGUGGCGAAGGCGGCCCCCUGGACGAAGACUGACGCUCAGGUGCGAAAGCGUGGGGAGCAAACAGGAUUAGAUACCCCAGUAGUC
rnacentral:rRNA from 1 species